CAGUAGCCGCGGGAAUACGGAGGGUGCAAGCGUUACUCGGAAUUACUGGGCGUAAAGCGUGCGUAGGUGGUGGGUCAAGUCCGUUGUGAAAGCCCUGGGCUCAACCUGGGAAUUGCAGUGGAUACUGGGUCACUAGAGUGUGGUAGAGAAUAGUGGAAUUUCCGGUGUAGCAGUGAAAUGCGUAGAGAUCGGAAGGAACAUCUGUGGCGAAGGCGACUAUCUGGGCCAACACUGACACUGAGGCACGAAAGCGUGGGGAGCAAACGGGAUUAGAUACCCCAGUAGUCCCUGUCUCUUAUAC
rnacentral:rRNA from 1 species